rnacentral:rRNA from 1 species
UACAGAGGGUGCAAGCGUUGUUCGGAAUUAUUGGGCGUAAAGGGCGCGUAGGCGGUUCGGCAAGUCUCUAGUGAAAUCUCUGGGCUCAACUCAGAGUCUGCUGGGGAAACUGCCGGGGCUUGAGUGUGGGAGAGGAGAGUGGAAUUCCUGGUGUAGCGGUGAAAUGCGCAGAUAUCAGGAAGAACACCCGUGGCGAAGGCGGCUCUCUGGGCCUUACCUGACGCUGAGGAGCGAAAGCGUGGGGAGCAAACAGG